rnacentral:rRNA from 1 species
UAGGUCUCAGUUCGGACUGUAGGCUGCAACUCGCCUACACGAAGUUGGAAUUGCUAGUAAUCGUGGAUCAGCAUGCCACGGUGAAUACGUUCCCGGGUCUUGUACACACCGCCCGUCACACCAUGGGAGCUGGUAACACCCGAAGUCAGUAGUCUAACCGCAAGGAGGACGCUGCCGAAGGUGGGAUUAGCGACUGGGGUGAAGUCGUAACAAGGUAUC